AUACGGAGGGUGCAAGCGUUACUCGGAAUCACGGGGCGUAAAGCGCGCGCAGGCGGCUAUUUAAGUUGGAUGUGAAAGCCUACGGCUCAACCGUAGAACUGCAUCCAAAACUAUUUAGCUAGAGUGUGGGAGAGGAAGAUGGAAUUAGUUGUGUAGGGGUAAAAUCCGUAGAGAUAACUAGGAAUACCAAAAGCGAAGGCAAUCUUCUGGAACAGUACUGACGCUGAGGCGCGAAAGCGUGGGGAGCAAACAGGAUUAGAAACCCUAGUAGUCC
rnacentral:rRNA from 1 species